rnacentral:tRNA from 1 species
GCGGGAGUAGUUCAGUGGUAGAAUAUCUGCUUCCCAAGCAGAGGGUCGCGGGUUCGAAUCCCGUCUCCCGCU